GACAGGGGUGCUGGUGUAAACCGGCUGAGAGUAAGGUAAACAGACCUUUAACCCGUAUACCUGAUCUGGAUAAUGCCAGCGUAGGAAAGUAGAUAUAC
rnacentral:ncRNA from 1 species